rnacentral:rRNA from 1 species
GGAUGAGAUAGGGCAACGCCGCGUGCAGGAUUAAGGCCUUCGGGUUGUAAACUGCUUUUAUAAGUGAAGAAUAUGACGGUAGCAUAUGAAUAAGCCUCGGCUAACUCCGUGCCAGCAGCCGCGGUCAUACGGAGGAGGCAAGCGUUAUCCGGAUUUACUGGGCGUAAAGAGUUGCGUAGGCGGUUUUGUAAGCAAAUAGUGAAAUCAUGUGGCUCAACCAUACUGACUAUUAUUUGAACUGCAGAACUUG